rnacentral:rRNA from 1 species
AACGCGAAGAACCUUACCUACCCUUGACAUCCUAGGAAUCUAGCAGAGAUGCUGGAGUGCCGAAAGGAACCUAGAGACAGGUGCUGCAUGGCUGUCGUCAGCUCGUGUUGUGAGAUGUUGGGUUAAGUCCCGUAACGAGCGCAACCCUUAUCCUUAGUUGCCAACAUGUAAUGGUGGGGACUCUAAGGAGACUGCCGGUGAUGAACCGGAGGAAGGCGGGGACGACGUCAAGUCAUCAUGGCCUUUAUGGGUAGGGCUACACACGUGCUACAAUGGACAGUACAGAGGGUUGCCAAACUGUGAAGUGGAGCCAAUCCCAGAAAGCUGUUCGUAGUCCAGAUUGAAGUCUGCAACUCGACUUCAUGAAGUCGGAAUCGCUAGUAAUCGCGAAUCAGAAUGUCGCGGUGAAUACGUUCCCGGGCCUUGUACACACCGGAGUGC